AUGGCGUUUGCUGGCAUGUCUCUCGUCACCGCUGAGGGCAAGCUGUGCACGUCCACCGUGUCGCCCAUCGACUCCCGCGCGGCCAGCGGGUACCACUGCUCGCGGUCGAAGGCUUCUCGAGAAACAAGACACCAACCGGCCAGUACAUCAGAUCUCUUACUUUCUUGGUUGGAGGCCGCCGCUGUCUGCGAUAAAGAUUUCAUAAGAAGAUCUACGUUGGAAAGAUCUUCGCAUCUCAAGGAUGACAGCUUCAUCAUCCGUUGUGACGUCAUUGUACUUGACGUCAAGGCCGACGUCAACACGGAGGUUGGCGCUACCACCAUCGUUUCUCAGUUCAUCCAAGUCCCUCCUUCGGACAUGGCAAUCCACUUCAAGUAUCUCCUCAUGUCCAAGGAGGGUGCUGACGUGACGUUUGAGGUUGGCGGCGAAGCAUUUGCUGCGCAUCGAUGUGUGCUUGCAGCGCGAUCUAUGGCCUUCAAGUCACAGCUGUUUGGUGACACUCCUGGUGGUGCUACUGUGAAGAUCGAUGAGGGAGCCCCAAAAGCAGUCCAACAUGUAAUGUGGCUGCUGCAGUUGCUUGAAGCUGCGGAGAGAUAUGAUCUCCAUAGGCUGAAGUCGAUCUGCCAAGAAGAGUUGGGCACCAGCAUUCAGCUGAACACAGUAGCGGAAAUCAUUGUUGGAGCUGAGCGGGGACGCUACCGUUGGUUGAAGGAAGAGUGCUGGGAGUUCAUCAAAUCUAACACAACCGUGCACACAGUUUUCACAGCUGAGGAGAUUGAGCAGAUCGUCAAAUCCUGCAGCGCCUCCGUUCUCAACAAGCUCCUCUCCAAGAUGUCAGCACUGAUCCUAAAGCAUGUUAAAGCAGAGGUCCACGGCCACCCACCGCAGACGGUGAGCGGACCGCGGAGGCCGACCGCCGCAGCUGGCUGCGAUACUCGCCGGCGCCGAGCACCUGGCCGGCGUGCUCCGGGUCCGAGCCGAGCGUCUCCAUCUGCUGUCGUGGGCGGAGGCCGAGGGGCGAGUGACGCGGCGGUCACCGAGGCCGCCGCCAUCUGCGCGCUAAUCGCCGUCGCGGAGCUGACCGUCCCCGACGCCAUCGGAGUCCGCCAUCGCUCCGAGCUGCGUCUCCUCCGCCGCGCACCUUCGCACCCGUCCACGGUGACCAGGCGAUGCCCAUGGGCGACGGGACCCUCCUGCUCGUCUUCUACGGGCGCUGCGGUUGCCGGGAAUUCUAGGCCGGAGGCCAUCAUGCGCUAUUUUUUGCUAUCGCUGCUAUGUGUCACUACUGUCAGAAUGGCAAAAGACCAUGGAAAUUUUGCCGUGCAGAAGUCUAAAAAAAAGGCCUGUAGGGCCCGGUGGAUGGGGCGUUCGCGCUGGUUCGUUCUUCUCCCGAACGAAAUCGUUCGGUCGAUGCCCCUGCCCUCCCGAACGAGUCGUUCGGGCCGGGGUGUCUACAGCCCGAACGUCCGGAGCUCCGUGUACAGUGUGGCUGUUGCAUCCAGUCGUCAGUUGAAUAUGCUCUUAAUUUUGGUUGACUUUAAUCAGCUUGACCUGUUUCAAGAGAUGAGCGGAUCAUAUCCCGACCCGGAUGCCUCCUUGAUAACCUAA
rnacentral:rRNA from 1 species